rnacentral:tRNA from 1 species
GCAUCCAUGGCUAAAUGGUUAAAGCGUUCAACUCAUAAUUGGCGAAUUCGUAGGUUCAAUUCCUAUUGGACCUU